UACGUAGGGACCGAGCGUUGUCCGGAAUUAUUGGGCGUAAAGAGCUCGUAGGCGGUGUGUCGCGUCGGCCGUGAAAACCUGGGGCUCAACUCUGGGCGUGCGGUCGAUACGGGCAUCACUUGAGUUCGGCAGGGGAGACUGGAAUUCCUGGUGUAGCGGUGAAAUGCGCAGAUAUCAGGAGGAACACCGGUGGCGAAGGCGGGUCUCUGGGCCGAUACUGACGCUGAGGAACGAAAGCGUGGGGAGCGAACAGG
rnacentral:rRNA from 1 species